CAGAAGUCGAGAAUGUGACUCCGAAGAUGGAAAAAAGUGGGACACGGUAUAGAGGGGUGAUGGCCGCCUUUCUGAGCUUUGGGGACUCGGUGCGUAAAGACAAAGGUUCAGGGUGCUGCUGAGUGUUGCGCAGGGCUCACUUGACUGUCUCCCCAUCCACGAAGGCUUUCUAGGGGAAGAACUGACGCCUCCUGACACUUCAGCUCACAAAAGUCCUGAGUAUUUCAGACGGUGCACAUCACAAGCAGAAACAAGAUCAGAGAUGAGGAGCCCA
rnacentral:lncRNA from 1 species